GCGGGAUUGGUGGAAUGGUAGACACGCAAGAAUGAGGUUCUUGUGCCUUUAAAGCGUGAGGGUUCAAGUCCCUUGUCCCGUA
rfam:Mycoplasmataceae bacterium CE_OT135 Contig_25, whole genome shotgun sequence.